rnacentral:lncRNA from 1 species
UUGGUGGGUGUGAGGAGGGGCUAGGGAAGCCUUGGUGCUUCCUGCCGCAGUCCUGGGCACUGAGCCCCAGCUGCUGUUGGCCUGGAGCCCCAUCUAUCCCGGAUUUGGCCCCACCCUCCAGGAGCAGGGAGCCAGCUCUGCAUCAGGAGAGGCGGGCAAGGCCUGGGGAGGACCAGCUCAGGCCCUGUCUACAGGGCACUAGUGGGGGACCCAAGCCUCUGAGAGUAGAGGCUGCUGGGGCUGCAGCUGGGCCUGGGGAGUUCCAGAUGGAGUUCCCGUCCUCACCCUGCUUAAGGGCUCCGCUGGCCACCUACAUGCCUCGGAGGAGAAGGGACAGAGGGCUGCCACAGCAGGGCUCUGGAGCUGUGGAUCAGGCCUGGGUGGGGAACUGCCAGGCAGAAGAGGCUCCUCCCCUAAAGCAGAAGGAGCAGGCCAGCAACUCCAGGCGGAGCAAAGGUAGGCAAAGAGUCUGGGUUAAGAGCCGGGCUCUGGCAUCCAGCUGCCACACUUCCCAUCUGAUCCACCACUCUGUUGUAGAAUUUAGGCUCGUCACUACGUCCCUUCAUGUCCCUCAAGAAAAGGGAGAUAACUAACUGUAGCUUCUACCUCAUAGUGUUGUUGGGAGGACUAAAGGAAUAAAUAAAUACAUGUGAAGUGCUUAGGACACACAUCUUAAAGCCUGAAAAUGGAAGCUGGUUUUAUUAUUGCUAUUAUUAUUAACCUCCAGAGUGAUAAUGUCAGCCCCAAGAGCAGUGAGAGUCUGGGCUUCUUUUGGACUGUGCCCCUGGUUGCUGAAAGUAGUGCUUGGACCCAAGGCGGAAGAAGCCAAGUCCUCCCUGGCCUCAUCCUCCCCUGGUGGACCGGGACUCUGGGCAGAUGGUGCAGGUAAGACCUGAGGCUCAGAGGGACCAAGUUGCAUGUCUGAGCUUGUACAGUGAGCUAGUGGUGGUUUCCUCUGGAAGGGCGCGUCCUGGUUGAUCAGGCCCUGAGUGGCCCUGCUGGUGUUCUUCACUCUAUGCCUGCAGGACCCAAGAUGACAUUUAUCCAAGGGAGUGUAAAAUAGAGUCAGAGAAGCACUGGUAUGAGGAGUUUGGAGCCCUCAUUCCAUUCAUUCCCUGAGUUCUAGGAGCCUCCUCUGUUCCUCCAGAAGCCAAAAGACAGGGCAGGAAGACAAAAUCUUUCCGCAACUCCUCACCAUUCUCUGUUGUGCCCACAAUCUCCGGUUCCACCCUCACUGUAAAAUCACGUCUCCAUCCGCCUGCUUGAUCUUUCAGCCAGCCGCUCCUCAGCUGGAGAAUGGGAAAUAAUGGGCUGUGCCAGCAAGCCACACUCCAAGGGCAGAGUGCUCAGUGAACCUGUUCAAAGUGUGGCCUGGGCAGCUGCCUGAGGGUCACCCGGGCCAUGAAAAGGCAGGCCCCUGGGUCCUACCCACAUCUUCUGAAUCUUUAGAAGGGCAUUGACAAAUGCUCUACUGAUUUUUAAGUAUUCCUGGAUUAAGAUAUUUUUUCUUUAAAUUGUCCAUCUUUUACUCUAUUUUAUCUUGAAAAAAAUCAAACCCAGGACAAAGUUGAAAGAAUGCUGCUAUGAACACCAAUAUAUCCUUCCCUUGGAUUUACCAGUUGUCAAUGUUUUGCCACAAUUCCUCUGGAAGUGUUAGACAUCAUUAUAUUUAAUCUCUGAAUACAUUAGCAUGUAACUCCAAAGAACAAGGACAUUUUCCUACAUAACCACAGUAGGAUUAGCCCACUGAAGACAUUUAACAUCGAUUUGCCUUUAUUUGUGUAAAAAAAUUUUGUAACUAACAAAAAAGAAAUUUAACACUGAUAUAACAGUAUUAUCUAAUACACAGCCCAUAUUCAAAUUCCCUCAAUUGCCCCAAUAACAUUCUUUAUAGCUAUUUCCAUGCAAUCUAGGACUUGAAAAUCAUGAAUUGUAUUCAGUCAUCACCCGAGCAGAAGGGUAAGGCUGGGGAUGAGCUUGGCAUGUUUGAAGAAUUGCAGAAAGUUCAGUGAGGCUGGCGCGAGGCAGAUGAGGGAAGAGAGCGGGAAAGGUGAGGUUAGAGGCAUGGCAAGGAGUCAAAGAUCACGAGGCUUUUAAAAUCAGAGUAAAGAGUUUAUUUUAAAUGCAAUGAAAAGCCAUUAGAGGGUUUGAAGCAGGGAAUGACUUAAUCUGAUUUAUAAUUUUUGUUUUGUUUUGUUUUGUUUUUGAAAUGGAGUCUCGCUCUGUCGCCAGGCUGGAGUGCAGUCGUGCGAUCUUGGCUCACUGCAACCUCUGCCUCCCAGGUUCAGGUGAUUCUCCUGCCUCAGCCUCCCGAGUAGCUGGGACUACAGGAGCGUGCCACCACACACAGCUAAUUUUUUUGUAUUUUUAGUAGAGGUGGGGUUUCACCAUGUUGGCCAGAAUGGGCUCGAUCUCCUGACCUAGUGAUCUGCCCGCCUCGGCCUCCCAAAGUGCUGGAAUUACAGGCAUGAGCCACCUUGCUCCGCCCUGAUUUAGGAUUUUAAAAGGUCAAUCUGAAGACAAUUUCAGAGUUGGGACAUUCUAUAAGACAACUAGUCCUAGACUCUUUAAAAAGUUAAGGUCAAGGCCAGGCACGGUGUCUCACACCUGUAAUCCCAGCACUUUAGGAGGCCUAGGUGGGCGGAUCACCUGAGGUCGGGAGUUGGAGACCAGCCUGAUCAACAUGGCGAAACCCUGUCUCUACUAAAAAUACAAGAAAAAAAAAGUUAAUGCCAAAAUAAUAAUAAUAAUAAUAAUAAUAAUAAGUUUAUAUCAUUUUUUGUUGGUGUUUUUUGGAGCUUUCAUAACAAAUUACCACAAACUUGGUGGCUUAGAACAACAAAAAUGUAUUCUCUCACAGUUCUGAAGUCCAGAAGUCCAAAAUCAAGGUGUUGGUGGGGCUGUAGUCCCGAAGGCUGGAGCAGAGAGGAACCCUUCCUUGCCUCUUCCAGCUUGUGGUGCUCCAGGCAUUCCUUGGCUUGUGACCACAUCCCUCCAGUCUCUCCCUCUGUCUUCGCAUGGCCGUCUCCUCCUUUGUGUCCAUGUCUCCUCUUCCUCUUACAAAGACCCUCAUCUUUGGAUUUGGGGCCCACCCAAGUAAUCCAGGAUGAUCUCACCUUAAGAUCAUUGUUUACCCCUGUAAAGACGCUUUUCCCAAAUAAGGUCACAUUAACAUGUCCUAGGACAUAGACAUAUGUUUUGGGAAGCCACCAUUCAGUCCACUACAGUGGGAGAUCAUUUUGACAACAAGAGACUAAGAGAUGAAACAAUCAAAUGUAUGUACAAAGCUAGAUUGGACCCUAAAUUUUUUUUAAAGAGGUUAUUGGAGAAUUUGGGGUAUUAUAUGCUAUGAAAUGAUUAUUCUUCUUUUAGGUGUGAAGAUCGGAGUGUGGUUGUGUAAUGGAAUGUCUGCCUGCUAAAGUAUUUAGGAGUGGAGUGUCAUGAUAUCCUCAACCUUCUUUCUAGUGGGUUAGCAAAGAAAAGGUAUAUGUUCUAGAGAAAGAAAGAAAUGGCAAUUUUUAAAAAUUUUUUCUUCUAUUAAUUUUUUUCCUUUUUUAAAAAAAUAGUUUGUCUUCAUCUUACUUGUUAUUUUUUCUAUUUAUUUAUUUAUUUAAAAUAUUUAUUUAUUUAAAAUAGAUACUGGGUCUCACUGUGUUGCCCAGGCUGGUCUCAAACCCCUGGGCUCAAACAGUCCUCCUGCCUCAGCCUCCCAAAGCGCUGGGAUUACAGGCAUUAACCACUGUGCCCGGCUGAAAUAUGGCAAAUAUCAGCUGGGCACAGUGGCUCACGCCUGUAAUCC